rnacentral:lncRNA from 1 species
GUGGGGAGAGAGGCCGUGAGGCAGGGCUUCUGAGCGGCGGUGGGGAGUUCCUCCUGAGCAAGCAGCUGGAGUCCAUAGGCACCCCGCAGUUCCACAGCCCAGUGGGGUCCCCACUCAAGUCCAUCCAGGCCACCUUGACACCUUCCGCUAUGAAAUCUUCCCCUCAAAUCCCUCACAAGACAUACAGCAGCAUUCUGAAACAUCUGAACUAAACCUCAGCAGACAUUUCUCUUUGUUCUUCAUGAAAUGCGUUGUGUCUUUUUUUAUCACUAAUGUUUUAAGUCUUUUUUUUUUUACUUGAAUCAGAAGGUGUCAUUAAUUUGCAAGGAUUUUUCUUGGUUCUCAGUUUGUAAAACAGACUUUUUUUUCUACAUGUGAGUUAGUUUUCAUUUGAACUGGCAUGUCGUUUGCACACACACACAUACAUACACACACGCACACACACGCAAAGAAUAGAGCAAAACAAUGCAGUGCAGGAGGAGACAAGAUGCGCUAGGAUGAUUAGACAUUCUCAUAGACCAGUGACCUGCUUUACGGGAAACAAAACCUUGCCUUGAAACUUACACAGUGAGACUGUACAUAAUUGCAUGAAAAGAUCUAUUUUUUUCCUGAAACAUUUUUCAUUCAUUAGUAUUUUCAAGUUUUUCAUACUGUACACAUUUCUUAAGACACAUGAUACCAGCAGCAACUGAAAACGAAUGCCGAAUUUGGUACACAUGUGUUAUCUACCUCAAGGUAACAAAAGUAUGUGGCGAAGCCUAACCCACCCAUAGUGCUCCACGGCAUAUGCACUUCUAUCUAGCCAGCGUUUAUCGUAGUGAACUAUUGAGACUCGUCCACCAUUUAUACAUGUCCUGGUGUUCAUUCUUUAUAGUGAAGUGUUAAAUACAUCACAUCUUAUUUAUUUUUAGCAAAUCAGUAUAUUUUCUGUAUUUAAUUAUAAAAGUUAACUUAGUUUUAAGUUUAUUUGCAACUGCCCUUCUUUCCAUUUGGCACUAUGGUUUGUUGCCUGCCGAGCUGAUCCGAGACGUCAGCUCGUCCUGAGGCUGUCCAUGUACGUUAAGUAAAGUGCUCACUGUGUAUAGGAAUCUGUAUUUUGGAGGUGCUUGAUCUAUCUACAAAGAAAAAAUUAGGAAUUUAUUAUAAAAUGCUCCUAGAAGUCUUAAUGGUGUUUAUUUUUUAAAAACUUGUAAUGUUAGACUUGUGUGCAUGGAAGUAAUUAAGGUACAUCACUAUUGUAGUUUAAACAUUGUACAUGAUAAGCCUUCCCCCUCCCCACCCCCUGUUUUUACUGUAUGUUUUUAUUGAAUGAUCUAUUCCCCAUCCCUAGGCAAGCAUGAAUAAAAUUAGGUUAAAUGUAGCAUGUCACUGCUCAGUCUUUUAGAGUUUGUUUUGUCUGUUUUAUUUUGCUGAAUCCUGUCUGUAUCUUUGGUUAUCCUCUUUGAAGGAAAAAGAAAAAUAAAGAUGGCCAGCAGGC